GAGCUCAAAAGCCUGUCCAAGUAGAAUGAAAUCUUCUGUUUGGAAAAUGAUAAUGAGAUGCGUCAUCUUUACUCUCUUAUUGAUUGUUACAGAGCUCCAUGAAUAGAUGAACUUGCAGUUGUGCUGCUGAGGGACUUGGAAAGUAAUACUGGAGAGGCCAUCUUCUUUCAGCUUUGGCAACAGAUGAGCAAUUAAGACUGAGAGAAGAUUAAAAAUUUCCUUAUGCCAAACAUUCUGCAGUAGACAGCUUGCCUCUACAGUUAGAAAAAACAAGCUGGAAUAAUUUCACCUAGUUCUUGGACUCUCUGAAGUUACUUCACGAGAAUGACCUUGUGUUUGGUUGUCAAGACAGCGACCUGGAUUCCGUAAGUGUCCAGUCUUAUAUGGAUUAGCUCUUAUGACCACACUCAUAAGGACUAGAAUAAAAUCUAAAAAAGAAGAAUUGGUGAAUUGGUUGAUGCGCGCACACCCACAGAGUCAUUUUGUCAUUAUUCAGUGUAUUAAUAUAUCCAGAUUUUGAUAGAAUUCAAGUAAGGGUCAUCACAGGUUGUUCAAAAUGGUUAAAGAC
rnacentral:lncRNA from 1 species